AUUUAAACAGAAAUAGGAAAUUUCUUGCGUAUUGGUGUUUGGAACUUGGAAGAUAAACAUAAAAUGACUGAUUACCGUAGUGGCAAAGCAGUUAUGGAAUCAGUUCUCGCUGAUCGUGGUGCAGGAUGCCCUCUAAUAUUACGGCCACUGAUGCUUCAACUGUCUCAGUACGAGUCUCCAUAUUACUGAAGCUAGAAAUGACAAAAAAACCUUAAA